UAUUACUAAGCGGAGGAAAAGAAACUAACGAAGAUUGACUUAGUAAGGGCGACUGAACUGUCAAAAGCUCAGCAUGUGAAUCAGCGUGCACUCUUGUGAGCGCUGAAUUGUGAUCUUCGGUCCUUGCAUCAACACGUCGGCGCAGUCCAUGUUUUUUGGAACAAAACAGCACAGAGGGUGAAACUCCCGUACGACUGCACCGGUCGGCCAGCGAAGCAAGCACCAAUGAGUCGAGUUGUUUGGGAUUGCAGCUCUAAUACGGUGGUAAAUUUCAUCUCAAGCUAAAUACUGGUGGGAGACCGAUAGCGUACAAGUACCGUGAGGGAAAGAUGCAAAGAACUUUGAAAAGAGAGUGAAAGAGUACCUGAACUUGCUGAAAAGGAAGCGAACGAAGGUAGUGAAAGCAACGUCAUACUUUCCAACUUGCUCGCAACUUGGACGCUGUGCCUUGCCAAGUUCCACUCCAUCGCAGUCAGCGCAAACAGGCGCAGUCAAGAUUUCAUUGACUUGCACACGGCGCACUGGCCGCACUGCAGCGGAACGAAAUAGCUUUGUUUGUCCCGUCUAGAAACACGGACCAAGGAGUCUAACAUAUGUGCGAGUACAAAGGCAGCAUGCCUUAGUGCGCAAUGAAAGUGUCAGAGGCUGGAAUGCCGCUUGCUCAAUUCGUUUGGCGGCAGUGCACAGUCCGCCGGCCUCCAUCCCUCGGGAAAAUGGUCUGAGUGUGAGCAUACAUGUUGGGACCCGAAAGAUGGUGAACUAUGCUUGAGUAGGGUGAAGCCAGGGGAAACUUUGGUGAAGGCUCGCAGCGAUUCUGACGUGCAAAUCGAUCGUCAAACUUGAGUAUAGGGGCGAAAGACUAAUCGAACUAUCUAGUAGCUGGUUCCCUCCGAAAUUUCCCUUAGGAUAGCUGCAAUCCAUGCCAGUUUUGUCA
rnacentral:rRNA from 1 species